rnacentral:rRNA from 1 species
GUGAGACAGGUGCUGCAUGGCUGUCGUCAGCUCGUGUUGUGAAAUGUUGGGUUAAGUCCCGCAACGAGCGCAACCCUUAUCCUUUGUUGCCAGCGGUCCGGCCGGGAACUCAAAGGAGACUGCCAGUGAUAAACUGGAGGAAGGUGGGGAUGACGUCAAGUCAUCAUGGCCCUUACGACCAGGGCUACACACGUGCUACAAUGGCAUAUACAAAGAGAAGCGACCUCGCGAGAGCAAGCGGACCUCAUAAAGUAUGUCGUAGUCCGGAUCGGAGUCUGCAACUCGACUCCGUGAAGUCGGAAUCGCUAGUAAUCGUGGAUCAGAAUGCCACGGUGAAUACGUUCCCGGGCCUUGUACACACCGCCCGUCACACCAUGGGAGUGGGUUGCAAAAGAAGUAGGUAGCUUAACCUUCGGGAGGGCGCUUACCACUUUGUGAUUCAUGACUGGGGUGAAGUCGUAACAAGGUAACCGUAGGGGAACCUGCGGUUGGAUCACCUCCUUA